rnacentral:rRNA from 1 species
UACGUAGGGAGCAAGCGUUGUCCGGAUUCACUGGGUGUAAAGGGUGCGCAGGCGGAUCGGUAAGUCAGAGGUGAAAUCUCACAGCUCAACUGUGAAACUGCCUUUGAUACUGCUGAUCUUGAGUUAGGGAGAGGUUGAUGGAAUUCCAGGUGUAGCAGUGAAAUGCGUAGAUAUCUGGAAGAACACCAGUGGCGAAGGCGGUCAACUGGCCCUAAACUGACGCUCAGGCACGAAAGCGUGGGGAUCAAACAGG